rnacentral:rRNA from 1 species
UACGAAGGGUGCAAACGUUGCUCGGAAUUAUUGGGCGUAAAGCGCACGUAGGCGGCUUUGCAAGUCCCAUGUGAAAUCCCACGGCUCAACCGUGGAAGUGCAUGGGAAACUGCAGAGCUUGAGUACUUAAGAGGAUCGCGGAAUUCCCGGUGUAGAGGUGAAAUUCGUAGAUAUCGGGAGGAACACCAGUGGCGAAGGCGGCUCACUGGCCCGGUACUGACGCUGAGGUGCGAAAGCGUGGGGAGCAAACAGG